GGACCCGCACAAGCGGUGGAGCAUGUGGUUUAAUUCGAAGCAACGCGAAGAACCUUACCAAAUCUUGACAUCCCAAUGACCGGCAUUUAAUUUUGCCUUCUCUUCGGAGCAUUGGAGACAGGUGGUGCAUGGUUGUCGUCAGCUCGUGUCGUGAGAUGUUGGGUUAAGUCCCGCAACGAGCGCAACCCUUAUCUUUAGUAGCCAGCAGUUCGGCUGGGCACUCUAGAGAGACUGCCGGGGAUAACCCGGAGGAAGGUGGGGAUGACGUCAAAUCAUCAUGCCCCUUAUGAUUUGGGCUACACACGUGCUACAAUGGCGUAAACAAAGGGAAGCGACCUGGUGACAGUGAGCAAACCCCAAAAAUAACGUCUCAGUUCGGAUUGUAGUCUGCAACUCGACUACAUGAAGCUGGAAUCGCUAGUAAUCGCGAAUCAGAAUGUCGCGGUGAAUACGUUCCCGGGUCUU
rnacentral:rRNA from 1 species